rnacentral:rRNA from 1 species
CUGUGAAGGUGAGUUGAGAAGCUUGCUGGAGGUAUCAGAAGUGCGAAUGCUGACAUGAGUAACGACAAUGGGAGUGAAAAACUCCCACGCCGAAAGACCAAGGGUUCCUGCGCAACGUUAAUCGACGCAGGGUGAGUCGGUCCCUAAGGCGAGGCUGAAGAGCGUAGUCGAUGGGAAACGGGUUAAUAUUCCCGUACUUCUAGUUACUGCGAUGGGGGGA